CUUGGUCAUUUAGAGGAAGUAAAAGUCGUAACAAGGUCUCCGUUGGUGAACCAGCGGAGGGAUCAUUACCGAGUUUACAACUCCCAAACCCCUGUGAGCAUACCUAUACGUUGCCUCGGCGGAUCAGCCCGCGCCCCGUAAAAAGGGACGGCCCGCCCGAGGACCCCUAAACUCUGUUUUUAGUGGAACUUCUGAGUAAAACAAACAAAUAAAUCAAAACUUUCAACAACGGAUCUCUUGGUUCUGGCAUCGAUGAAGAACGCAGCAAAAUGCGAUAAGUAAUGUGAAUUGCAGAAUUCAGUGAAUCAUCGAAUCUUUGAACGCACAUUGCGCCCGCCAGUAUUAUGGCGGGCAUGCCUGUUCGAGCGUCAUUUCAACCCUCAAGCUCAGCUUGGUGUUGGGACUCGCGGUAACCCGCGUUCCCCAAAUCGAUUGGCGGUCACGUCGAGCUUCCAUAGCGUAGUAAUCAUACACCUCGUUACUGGUAAUCGUCGCGGCCACGCCGUAAAACCCCAACUUCUGAAUGUUGACCUCGGAUCAGGUAGGAAAUAACCUGAGUUUAAGCAUAUCAAUAAGCGGAGGA
rnacentral:rRNA from 1 species